GUUACAUGGUCUUAUUGAGAGUGAAACGGUUCAGAAAAACACUGAUAUGGUAGUAUCAGAUGUGCAGCCUAGUGAAAUUGAAAAUGAAGUGGAGAAUGAAGUGUAAAAUGCCGAUCCAGAGAUAUCUGGUGUUUUAUCUGAAGAUCAUCAACUGGCGGAUAUAUUAACAAAACCACUCCCAGCUCCACGCUUCGCACAACUAAGACAGCGUCUUGGCUUAACCGAUUGAUGGAUGCAGACGACAAUUUUUUUUAUAUACUACAUAAAAGUUGAAGACAUAAUUUAAUUUAUCAUUUAAAAGAAUAAUUUUUUGAAACUAUGUUAUUGAAUUUAAAAUCUGUUAUAUUUUCUAGUUAUUAAGUUUGGAAACAGAAGAUAUUCCUAAUUACUUUAUAAUUUUCAAAUUUAUAAGAUUACUUCCUGAAAUUGCCUUUAAUUGUUUUGUAUGUUAAUUUUGCAUCACAUCAUUUUGUCAUUUUGAAUAUUCAUUUUUCUUUGUAUUAAUUUUAAGAUUGACCUAAUUGGGUUUUACUGGGUUUCCCCAAUUCAAGCAACAAAUGUUGGGUCAAUGUGCACUCCCAGAAAUAUCUUGUCUUGCCAAUUCAAAUUUCAAAUUUUGUAUUAAACUUUAAAUUUAUAAAUCAUGAGCAUCAGACUUUUGAGGAGGUGUGUUGGAAUAUGACAUUACUUCAUAUCGAUAAGAAUAUCGUAUAAGCAAAAGUAUUCUGCUCACUACUGGUAACACUAAUAUCGUUUUGGUUCCGAUGAGCUGGUUCAGCUCUCACUUAUUCCGCAUAAUUUUGAAGUGACAAGACGUGAUCCAAGGAACUUAAAAUAUAUAUCUAAAACUAUA